rnacentral:tRNA from 1 species
ACUUAAAUAGCUUAUAAAGAGCAUAGUAGUGAAGUUACUAAGGAGAUAUUAAUUUUUAAGUA